rnacentral:lncRNA from 1 species
UUGAAUUCUGAAGGUUCAGAAUUUGAAUUUCAAUGUAUGUACUUUAAUUUUAUUUACUUAUAUAUCACCGUACCUUAUAAAAAAAGGUAUAUUACUGCAAUCGACUACCGUGAUGACGACGAUGGAAGUCACGAAGCAGCGAAUGUAGAAUUACAAUCCGUGAUGUCGCGAAUCUAAGCCGACGAAACUCGUCGCGAUGAUUGAGUUAGAACGAACUCGUCGCGAUGAUUGAGUUAGAACGAACUCGUCGCAAUGAAUGAAAUCGACAAACGGAAUCCACGAUUAAUCGACAGAAACAAAUCGGACAGAAUCGCCACAAAAAUCAAAUCGGAAUUGACGAUGAACAAAUAAAAAUCGCUCAAAUCCAAGAAUCGUCUAAUCGGAAAACCGGAAAAAAAACAAUUUAGAAACACUGGGAUAACGCGAUUUGUAAACGGAAGCAAGAUCUUUACCUGCAAUCGAAAGAGAGUCCAACUGAUACCAUGUGAGAUUGCUCAAUCCUUGGUGGGAGCGGUAGAUCUUAGAGAAC